AUUGAACGCUGGCGGAAUGCUUUACACAUGCAAGUCGAACGGCAGCACGGACUUCGGUCUGGUGGCGAGUGGCGAACGGGUGAGUAAUACAUCGGAACGUGCCCAGUCGUGGGGGAUAACGUAGCGAAAGCUACGCUAAUACCGCAUACGAUCUAAGGAUGAAAGCGGGGGAUCGCAAGACCUCGCGCGAUUGGAGCGGCCGAUGGCAGAUUAGGUAGUUGGUAGGGUAAAGGCCUACCAAGCCGACGAUCUGUAGCUGGUCUGAGAGGAUGGUCAGCAACACGUGGACCGAGAGACGGCCCAGACGCCUACGGGAGGCAGCAGUGGGGAAUUUUGGACAAUGGGCGCAAGCCUGAUCCAGCCAGUCCGCGUGCAGGAUGAAGGCCUUCGGGUUGUAAACUGCUUUUGUACAGAACGAAAAGGCUCUGGUUAAUACCCGGGGCUCAUGACGGUACUGUAAGAAUAAGCACCGGCUAACUACGUGCCAGCCGCCGCCGUAA
rnacentral:rRNA from 1 species